rnacentral:rRNA from 1 species
UACGGGGGGGGCAAGCGUUGUUCGGAAUUACUGGGCGUAAAGGGCUCGUAGGUGGCCAACUAAGUCGGACGUGAAAUCCCUCGGCUUAACCGGGGAACUGCGUCCGAUACUGGUUGGCUUGAGUUUGGGAGAGGGAUGCGGAAUUCCAGGUGUAGCGGUGAAAUGCGUAGAUAUCAGGAGGAACACCGAUAGCGAAGGCAGCUCGCUGGGACGGUACUGACGCUGAGACGCGAAAGCGUGGGGAGCGAACAGG